CCAAGGAGUUCAGCGUGUACGCGAGUCAUUGGGUGGUGAAACCCAAAGGCAAAAUGAAAGUGAAGGGAACUUCGCGUUUCUGAGGGAGGAUGAGUUGGUUACCCGUAAGGGGCUGCUCCGCACUCCCGGGGCGUCUCUUUCUCAUUGCGAGUGGAGGCGCACCUAGAGCGUACACGCUGAUACCCGAAAGAUGGUGAACUAUGCCUGGCCAGGACGAAGCCAGGGGAAACCCUGGUGGAGGUCCGCAGCGAUUCUGACGUGCAAAUCGAUCGUCGGAGCUGGGUAUAGGGGCGAAAGACCAAUCGAACCAUCUAGUAGCUGGUUCCCUCCGAAGUUUCCCUCAGGAUAGCUUGCGCUCACGUGAAAGAGUCUCAUCCGGUAGAGCGAAUGAUUAGAGGCCUUGGGGUCGAAACGACCUCAACCUAUUCUCAAACUCCAAAUAGAUGAGAACUCCGGCUUUCUUGAACUCUUGUUUUGAAGCCGGGGGCUCGGAUCAGAGUGCCAAGUGGGCCAAUUUU
rnacentral:rRNA from 1 species